CCUACGGGAGGCAGCAGUGAGGAAUAUUGGUCAAUGGGCGCGAGCCUGAACCAGCCAAGUAGCGUGAAGGAUGACUGCCCUACGGGUUGUAACCUUCUUUUAUAAAGGAAUAAAGUGAGGCACGUGUGCCUUUUUGUAUGUACCUUAUGAAUAAGGCUCGGCUAACUCCGUGCCAGCAGCCGCGGUAAUACGGAGGAUCCGAGCGUUAUCCGGAUUGAUUGGGUUUAAAGGGAGCGUAGAUGGGUUGUUAAGUCAGUUGUGAAAGUUUGCGGCUCAACCGUAAAAUGGCAAUUGAUACUGGCAGCCUUGAGUACAGUUGAGGUAGGCGGAAUUAGUGGUGUAGCGGUGAAAUGCAUAGAUAUCACGCAGAACACCGAUUGCGAAGGCGGAAUACCGGCGCCCAACUGACGCGCAGGCACGAAAGCGUGGGUAUCGAACAGGAUUAGAUACCCCAGUAGUC
rnacentral:rRNA from 1 species